rnacentral:rRNA from 1 species
AGAACGAACGCUGGCGGCAUGCCUAAUACAUGCAAGUCGAACGAACUCUUCGGAGUUAGUGGCGCACGGGUGCGUAACGCGUGGGAAUCUGCCCUUGGGUUCGGAAUAACAGUUGGAAACGACUGCUAAUACCGGAUGAUGACGAAAGUCCAAAGAUUUAUCGCCCAGGGAUGAGCCCGCGUAGGAUUAGCUAGUUGGUGAGGUAAAGGCUCACCAAGGCGACGAUCCUUAGCUGGUCUGAGAGGAUGAUCAGCCACACUGGGACUGAGACACGGCCCAGACUCCUACGGGAGGCAGCAGUAGGGAAUAUUGGACAAUGGGCGAAAGCCUGAUCCAGCAAUGCCGCGUGAGUGAUGAAGGCCUUAGGUUGUAAAGCUCUUUUACCCGAGAUGAUAAUGACAGUAUCGGAGAAUAAGCCCGGCUAACUCCGUGCCAGCAGCCGC